rnacentral:rRNA from 1 species
GACAGAGGGGGCAAGCGUUGCUCGGAAUUACUGGGCGUAAAGCGCACGUAGGUGGCGACGUAAGUCGGGUGUGAAAGCCCCGGGCUCAACCUGGGAAUUGCAUUCGAGACUGCAUUGCUGGAGUACGGAAGAGGAGGGCGGAAUUCCCGGUGUAGCGGUGAAAUGCGUAGAUAUCGGGAGGAACAUCAGUGGCGAAGGCGGCCCUCUGGUCCAGUACUGACACUCAAGUGCGAAAGCGUGGGGAGCAAACAGG